rnacentral:rRNA from 1 species
UACGAAGGGGGCUAGCGUUGCUCGGAAUCACUGGGCGUAAAGCGCACGUAGGCGGAUUGCUAAGUCAGGGGUGAAAUCCUGGAGCUCAACUCCAGAACUGCCUUUGAUACUGGCGAUCUCGAGUCCGGGAGAGGUGAGUGGAACUGCGAGUGUAGAGGUGAAAUUCGUAGAUAUUCGCAAGAACACCAGUGGCGAAGGGCGGCUCACUGGCCCGGUACUGACGCUGAGGUGCGAAAGCGUGGGGAGCAACAGGG